UACGGAGGGUGCAAGCGUUAUCCGGAUUCACUGGGUUUAAAGGGUGCGUAGGUGGGCAGGUAAGUCAGUGGUGAAAUCUCCGGGCUUAACCCGGAAACUGCCGUUGAUACUAUUUGUCUUGAAUAUUGUGGAGGUAAGCGGAAUAUGUCAUGUAGCGGUGAAAUGCUUAGAUAUGACAUAGAAUACCAAUUGCGAAGGCAGCUUACUACACAACGAUUGACGCUGAGGCACGAAAGCGUGGGGAUCAAACAGG
rnacentral:rRNA from 1 species